AGUCGAGCGAGCUUGCCUAGAUGAUUUUAGUGCUUGCACUAAAUGAAACUAGAUACAAGCGAGCGGCGGACGGGUGAGUAACACGUGGGUAACCUGCCCAAGAGACUGGGAUAACACCUGGAAACAGAUGCUAAUACCGGAUAACAACACUAGACGCAUGUCUAGAGUUUGAAAGAUGGUUCUGCUAUCACUCUUGGAUGGACCUGCGGUGCAUUAGCUAGUUGGUAAGGUAACGGCUUACCAAGGCAAUGAUGCAUAGCCGAGUUGAGAGACUGAUCGGCCACAUUGGGACUGAGACACGGCCCAAACUCCUACGGGAGGCAGCAGUAGGGAAUCUUCCACAAUGGACGAAAGUCUGAUGGAGCAACGCCGCGUGAGUGAAGAAGGGUUUCGGCUCGUAAAGCUCUGUUGGUAGUGAAGAAAGAUAGAGGUAGUAACUGGCCUUUAUUUGACGGUAAUUACUUAGAAAGUCACGGCUAACUACGUGCCAGCAGCCGCGGUAAUACGUAGGUGGCAAGCGUUGUCCGGAUUUAUUGGGCGUAAAGCGAGUGCAGGCGGUUCAAUAAGUCUGAUGUGAAAGCCUUCGGCUCAACCGGAGAAUUGCAUCAGAAACUGUUGAACUUGAGUGCAGAAGAGGAGAGUGGAACUCCAUGUGUAGCGGUGGAAUGCGUAGAUAUAUGGAAGAACACCAGUGGCGAAGGCGGCUCUCUGGUCUGCAACUGACGCUGAGGCUCGAAAGCA
rnacentral:rRNA from 1 species